GCUCACACAACGCUGGAGGAACCCGGUAAGCCAGGCAGCACCUACGGAAGAGAAUGCUGCCUGACCUGCUGAGUGUUUCCAACUAUUUACGUUACUCUCUGAUGUGCAUUCAUCCACCCACAAUGAGUCCUUUGUGAAGAUCGUCAUCUUGUCGUGAUGAAGAGCAUACGAGUUCCUGAAGACCGGUGCCAUCUGGAGUCGAACCACCUGUCGCUUAGUUCCUGGCAGGGUCACUCAAGGUGGUACCGUCAAGGGGGAGGUUCCAGACAAGGGGCAGAACAAUCAAGACAUCAGUGGAGGAGUUGGCAGAAGAUGAUGACGCACAGUGAAGUCAGAGAAAGUGGAAGAAAACUGGAGAACCUGGGGAAACUCACGUGGUCAUGUGCUCCCUUUAUUCCCACCCUUUGCCUCCUGCCAGUCAGCCACUGCUCCAUCCAUGCUGGAAUCUUUCCUGGGCUUGUAGCUUGUUAAGCAGGCACAUGUGUGGCACCUUGUCAAAGACCUUUUGAAAAUCUAAAUAUAUCAACUGAUUCCCUUUUAUCUAUUCUGCUUGUUAUUUCUUCAAAGAAUUCCACCAGAUGUGUCAGGCAAGAUUUUCCCUUGAGGAAACCUGCUGACUACAGCCUAUUUUAUCAUGUACCUCCAAUUAGCCCAAAAGCAUGUCCUUAACAUUCAAUUGUAACAUCUUCCCAACCACUGAGCUUGGAAUAACUGACCAAAAAUUUCCUUUCUUUUGAAGAGAGGAGUGACAUUUACAAUGUUCCAUUCCUCCAGAACCAUGUCAGAAUCAAUUGAUUCUUGAAAAGUCAUUACUAAUGUCUCCACAAUCUCUUCAGCCACCUCUUUCAGAACCCUGGGGUGUAGACCACCUGGUCCAGGCGACUUAUCUUCCUUCAGAUCUUUCAGUUUCCCAAGAACUUUCUCCCAAAUAAUAUCAACUUCACGCACUUCUGCCCCCAACACUCUCGAACUUCCAGCAUACUGGCAGCAUCCUCCACAUUGAAGGUUGAUGCAAAAUAUUCGGUUCAACUGCCUGUCCCCUAUUAUUCUCUCUCCAGCAGUCUAAUAUCCACUCCCAUCUCUCUUUUACAGUUUAGGUUUCUGAAGAAACUUUUGGUAUCGUCUUUAAUAUUACUGGUUAGCAUACCUUCGUAUUCCAUCUUUUCCUUCUUAAUGACUCUUUUAGUUGCCUUCUGUUCGCUUUUAAAAGCUUCCCAAUCCCCUAACAUCCCAUUAAUGUUAGCUCUAUUAUCUGCCCUCACUUUGGCUUUUAUGUAGGCUUGAUUUUCUCUUUUUAGCCACAGUUGUGUCAUCUUGCCUUUAGAAUGCUUCUUCCUCUUUGGAAUGUAUAUAUUCUUCGCUUUCCUAAUUCCAGAAAUUCCAGCCAUAGCUGCUCUACCAUCAUCCCUGGCAGCGUUCUUUUCCAGUCAACUUUGGCCAAUUCCUCUCUCAUGUCUCUGUAGUUCCCUUUACUCCACUGUAAUACUCAUAUAUCUGACUUUAGCUUCUCUUUCAUAUCAUAUUAUGAUCACUGUCCCUAAGGGUGUUUUUACCUUAAACUCCCUAAUGAAUUCCAGUUCAUUGCACAACACUCUACCCUAAAUAGCUGAUCCCCUAGUGGGCUCCACCAUGAGCUACACCAGAAGUCCAUCUCAUAGGCAUUGCAGAAAUUCCCACUCUUGAGAUCCAGCACCAAGCUGUUGAUUCCAAUUUACCUGCAUAUUGAAAUCCCCCUUGACAACUGUAACAUUGUCCUUUUGGCAUCCAUUUUCUAUUUUCCAUUGUAGUUUGUAGACCACAUUCUUACUAUUAUUUGGGAGUCUAUAUAUAUCUCCGAUCAGGGUCUUUUUACCCUUCCGACCCUCUGUCACCUCCUAUUAAUGAAUCGAUUUCAUUUUUUACCAACAGAGCCGUGCCACUCCCUCUGUCCACCUACCUGUCACUUCAAUACGAUGUGUAUCCUUGGACACUAAGCUCCCAGCUAUAAUCUUCUUUCAGUCAUGAUUCAGCGAUGCCCACAACAUCGUACAUGCCAAUCUGUAACUGUUACAAAUUCACCUGCCUUGUUCCAUAUACUGUAUGCAUUCAAAUGCAACACCUUCACUCCUGUAUUCAUCACCCUUUUCGAUUUUAUCUGCCUUUUACAUUGCAUUUCAUUCUGUUGGCUGUAAUAUUGCCCUAUCAUCAGCCUCUCCUUGCUAGCAGUCUCACAACACACUGCCUCUGUAAACCAACUACCUCAUCUACCUCAGCACAAUCACUCCGGUUCCCAUCUCCCUGCCAAAUUAGUUUAAACCCAGCAAACCUGCCCGCAAGCAUAUUAGUCCUCCUUGGGUUCCGGAGUCUCCCUUUGCUUUCCUGCACGUGGUACCGUCCCCAGAAGAGAUCCUAAUAAUCCAUAAGUCUGCCAGAUCAUCCUGUUCUUAACUUCACAGGCAGCAAGCCGGAGGUUUACCCUGGAGGUCCCGUCUCUCAGCUUUCUACCUAGCUUCCUAAAAUUAUUCUUCAGGACCUCCUCACCAUGUCACUGGUGCCAAGAUGUACCAAGGCUUCUGGCUGCUCUCCCUCCCCUUUUAGAAUGCCAUGGACCUGAUCCAAGACGUCUGUGACCCUGGCACCUGGGUGUCUCCAUCGUGCCCGCGGAAUGUCAUCUCUGUUCCUCUGACUAUGGAACGUUGUAAUCCUCUUCACCUCGCUGCUCUUCCGAGCUGCAGCGCCAGACUCAGCUCCACCUGGUAGGUUGUCCCCCUCAGUAGUCUCCAGAGUGGCAUACUUAUUAUUGAGGGAAUAGCCACAGGCUGCCUCCUGCAACCUUUGGAUGACUACCUCCCUGCAGCUUCUACCUAUCAUCUCCCCAUGCUCCCAUAUGAGCUGAAUGUCAUCGAGCUGCAGAUCCUUCUCUGAGGAGCAGCAGCUACGUGCACCUGGUGCAGAUGUGGUUACCCUGGAGGCUGGAGGUCUCCCAGAAUUCCCACAUCUCACGUACAGAGUACAACAUGGCCCCUGGAGCCGUUCUCACUACAUUAACUGUGCCCUAACAGACAAGGAAUGAACAAUUAAGAAGAAAAAGAAAAAGUUACCAGAUACUUACCUUGCCCAAGCCUCAUGAGCCAAAGCCACUCCACCUGUACCUGUCUUAUUUUUAUUCACCCUUUCUAAUGAAUCCCACUCAGUCCCAAUCUGAAAAAUUGCUGAGAUGAUCACUCAUCCACUGGAAUUUAGUUGAUCAGAUAAUCUGAUUAUCCGUUUUAGUUAACCAUCCACACACCCUCUAUCUAUUACCCUUCCCCCAUCACUGCACUGUAAACACUUUAAACCACUGUUUAUAAUUUAUAACCACUGUUUAUAACCACAGUUUACAUUGUAAAUGCAUGAUAAUAUUUGUACUUAUGCACAUUCCAUUCAAUAUCCAUACUUUAACCUCUAUCCUUAUUUUUAUAUAAUUAUUUAUUGUUAUAAUUGUUGAUAUUGUGCAUUUUGUUUCAUGUUGCACCCUGAACCAACACACCAAGCAAAUUCCUAAUACAUGUAAAUGAAGUUGAUCCUUGAUUCCUUAGCCAUUGGAAUUCUGUAGAAAUGAAGUCAAGAACAGUCUAACCCUUUGGAAUUGUUGUUUAGACCUGGCCUGAUUGGGAAUGCUUCAAUCAAUUGGAAUUAUGUGGCUCUAGAGUGAAUGAAAAUCUAAUCCACUGGAAUUUUAUAGAUAUGGAUUAAUUGAGAAUAGGUUUUCAUCUUUUGGAAUUCUGGAGUGAAUGGGAUAAUAACAAUUCAUUAGAAUAGACAUAGAAAGAAUUUUACA